rnacentral:rRNA from 1 species
UACGUAGGGGGCAAGCGUUGUCCGGAUUUAUUGGGCGUAAAGAGCGCGUAGGCGGCCACACAGGUCAGCUGUGAAAACUCGAGGCUCAACCUCGAGACGUCGGUUGAAACCGUAUGGCUAGAGUCCGGAAGAGGAGAGUGGAAUUCCCGGUGUAGCGGUGAAAUGCGCAGAUAUCGGGAAGAACACCCGUGGCGAAGGCGGCUCUCUGGGACGGUACUGACGCUGAGACGCGAAAGCGUGGGGAGCGAACAGG